rnacentral:rRNA from 1 species
GCCUACGGGACGCAGCAGUGGGGGAUAUUGCACAAUGGAGGGAACCCUGAUGCAGCGACGCCGCGUGGGUGAAGGAGCGUUUCGGCGCGUAAAGCCCUAUCGGCAGGGAAGAAGAUGACGGUACCUGACCAAGAAGCCCCGGCUAACUACGUGCCAGCAGCCGCGGUAAUACGUAGGGGGCAAGCGUUAUCCGGAUUUAUUGGGCGUAAAGCGUCCGCAGCCGGGUUAUUAAGUCUAAGAUUAAAGCCCGAAGCUUAACUUCGGUUCGUUUUAGAAACUGGUAGACUCGAGUGUGGUAGAGGCAA